CUUCUCUGAUGUUAGCGGCGGACGGGUGAGUAACACGUGGGUAACCUACCUAUAAGACUGGGAUAACUCCGGGAAACCGGGGCUAAUACCGGAUAAUAUUUUGAACCGCAUGGUUCGAUAGUGAAAGACGGUUUCGGCUGUCACUUAUAGAUGGACCCGCGCCGUAUUAGCUAGUUGGUAAGGUAACGGCUUACCAAGGCGACGAUACGUAGCCGACCUGAGAGGGUGAUCGGCCACACUGGAACUGAGACACGGUCCAGACUCCUACGGGAGGCAGCAGUAGGGAAUCUUCCGCAAUGGGCGAAAGCCUGACGGAGCAACGCCGCGUGAGUGAUGAAGGUCUUCGGAUCGUAAAACUCUGUUGUUAGGGAAGAACAAAUUUGUUAGUAACUGAACAAGUCUUGACGGUACCUAACCAGAAAGCCACGGCUAACUACGUGCCAGCAGCCGCGGUAAUACGUAGGUGGCAAGCGUUAUCCGGAAUUAUUGGGCGUAAAGCGCGCGUAGGCGGUUUCUUAAGUCUGAUGUGAAAGCCCACGGCUCAACCGUGGAGGGUCAUUGGAAACUGGGAAACUUGAGUGCAGAAGAGGAGAGUGGAAUUCCAUGUGUAGCGGUGAAAUGCGCAGAGAUAUGGAGGAACACCAGUGGCGAAGGCGGCUCUCUGGUCUGUAACUGACGCUGAUGUGCGAAA
rnacentral:rRNA from 2 species